rnacentral:lncRNA from 1 species
CCUCUCUCUCCGUGGGAAGAACAGCGAGACCUUUUCAAAGGUUGUGGGCAGAGUCAAAGGAGAUAAUGAAACUGAAGGGGAGGCCCUGGGGAAUGGCUUCUGAUUUCCGAUGUGGAAAAAUUAAUCCGUAAGAAGUGGGUUAGCCCCGUGUAUCUCAGGAAAAGCCCAGGGAUCUAGCUGGACCCUGCAUAGAAGCUGCCAGGAGGCCUCCACACACAUUCUGAUGGGGUUCGAGAUGACCAAGUACAUCCCUGCCGACCUCUCCCACCUCUGACUGGCAGAACAUUUGAGAAAUGGCAAGCGACCCAGACAGGUGAACACAAAACCUCAGCUUAAGUCUUGGUAAGGCCAGUUAGAGAAUGAGGCUUGACCUAUGGCCACACAUGCCCCCUAAUAGGUCCCCCAAAACUCCAGAGAGAAGACAACACCCCCAGAAGUGGCCACUGGGGAUAGAACUUAGCAUCUGCUUAGCUCCAUGUACAAGGUGCCGUGCUCAGCCCUGCAGCGGUGGAUGGUGUUAUCUGGUGGGGAAGAAGACAGAUAACAGUGGCACAGAGAGGAUGGCAGACACCUUCCUAGGAGCCCGAAGCACAGGGAUUCUCUUCUGUCUACAGCAGCCAGCAGCUUCCUCCCGAGUCUACAGGAUAGAUACGGUUAGACAGCUCCCCAGAUGCCCCUGACUCUUCAAAGACAAAGACACUAUCUAAGGCCACGGGGAUAGGAAAACACCUUCACUCCACCACUUCUAUAGCACUG